CUGGUGCUAAAGGCCUUGUCAGCAAAGACAGAAACAGAAAACAUUGCAGGAUAGAGCAAUGGCCAUAGCAACAACAUCACAUUAAUCAGGGUCUGUAGUCUAUGCAAAGACAAACUUCCCAAACCAACAAUCUGCACACCAACACCAAAAGACACCAACAAAUUGCCUUUCUGUCCAGAAACUAGAAACCCCAAGGUAUUUGCUCUUAGACCUCCCUUCUCCAGGGACAGUCCUUCAGAAGAGGGAGACUCCAGUCUUUGCAACAUCAUGGGCUGUACCCAGAGACCAAAUAGGGAUGAUGUAGCUGUGGAAGACUGAAGGUUAGCAGGCAGCUGGGGUGUCAAUCUGAAGGCCAGCUUGCCUCUCCAGAAGUGGACUUUGGAUGUGUGCAGACAUGGCCUCCACUAUGCGAGAUACUAGACUUGCAAAAGGCGAUCUCCCUGGGACUGAAGCCCACUGUUUUUAGUUUGUGGUCAUGGCACAUUUGUUUGCAAAGCAGUAUUCAGUCAGCCACAAGUCACAAGGUUCAACCUGCUUGGACUGUGCUUCAGGAACCUUAAACAAACAAACAGCAAAUCAUGAG